rnacentral:rRNA from 1 species
UACGUAGGGUGCGAGCGUUAAUCGGAAUUACUGGGCGUAAAGCGUGCGCAGGCGGUUAUAUAAGACAGAGGUGAAAUCCCCGGGCUCAACCUGGGAACUGCCUUUGUGACUGUAUAGCUUGAGUGCGGCAGAGGGGGAUGGAAUUCCGCGUGUAGCAGUGAAAUGCGUAGAUAUGCGGAGGAACACCGAUGGCGAAGGCAGCUCGCUGGGACGUUACUGACGCUGAGACGCGAAAGCGUGGGGAGCAAACAGG